UUGUUUAUUUAAAUUUUUUGGGCAACCGCGUAAUUAAUGGUUGGUGUGCGUGUGUUCUGUUUCGGAGUGAAGAUGUGCCUAUGAUUUUACCACUGCAGUUUAUCGCGCUCGUAAGCAAGACUGCCCCAGAAUAGACACAGAACCGGCGUCAUGGAAACAGUAGACAGAGAGAGAUUCUAAAGACGCAGUCAGUGAGAAGCAGUGCUUAAAUGUAGUCACAAAGUAACACAAGCCAGGAGAAAGUACUCUGUUCAUUUCAAUAAUUUCGUUUUUUUUCUCCACUUAUUUUAAGAAUUAUCUUAAAAAAAUAAGCAUAUUUUUUUAAAAAAAAUAUUUUAUCUGUCUUUCGUAUUCUUAUUUUAAACUAUUCUUGAAUCAGUUUUACGUUUUAAAUAUUUUAAAGGUGAUACACUGAAGAUUUGUACGAGUGUUCUGUAUUAUUUUCUGCUCUUAAAAAAAAUAUCUUACGAGCCAACAAAAUGACGGACCUGUUACGGCAAUGUGUUAAUAGUUAAAAGAGUGUUAAAAGUGCAGACCUUAAGAGAGAGACGCAGUUGGAUAUCGGGACAGACAUUACAGCGAAGUUUGGAACAUCGCUGUCCAUAUGAUAUUUCAUUGUGUUAUAAAGUCUUCACACACACUUAGAGCGACUGUGUUGUGCCCUGUGUAUUCAGAGAGACGGAUUCUACUUCCACGUCUCAAAACUAGCUGGGAUGGACGCAGUUUACCCGGAGCCAUGGUCCCGGCUUCAUCGCCGCCAAGUUCGGAAACAAAUGCACCGCGAGUCUGGAGGACGGUACCGUACACAGCCAGUCACUUUCGCUGAGAUAAAGGAAGUAGACGAGGAAAACAUUGAAGAAAGUCCGAUGACCGAGCCGUCAGCUGGGGCCGCCAGCAAAUCUGAACAGGACAUAAAUUCCAAGUUUGAGGAAUUUUGGAGGGCAGGUCGAGAGAGAGCGAAGGAAAAGAAAUUGAGACGUGCGAGGGAGACGCGCAGAUCCGAAUCUGACGCCGUGAUUACACAAACCUGUACCACGACUACCUCAACCAUCGUACCGGCGCCCUCAAUUACAAUUUCACAUCCUCACAGCACCAGACCGUCACUAUGAGAACUGUUGAAACAAAGGACAUUUCAAUGAAUGAACUUCCGCGAGACGAGUCAUUCAUUCUUCAAGAAAUACCUAGGUAUUACUUCUGUAGUUAGCACAAACAAUAUCAUAUUUACAUCAGAUACAAUAGUCAUUAAUGGCUUAAGUUCCAUUAUAUACUAAUUAAAAGUAACUGUAACCAAUCUAAAAUGAAAAUUUUUUCCCCCAGAAUAUAAAGAUUCACAUUCUACAAAGAAAAAUUUUAAAAAUUAAAAUAUAUUGGCAAUUAAGAUGACUAAUUAUAUAUUUUAUAAACUGUGAUAUGUAAUAAAAGAAGAAAUUAUAUAAAACUUCACCCUACAAAUAUACAAUAUAGAAUUUUCCACGUCAUCAAAAUAUGGCAGUCUAGUUCCAAAGACUUGAAGAAGUUUCUUCAAGGAAUUUGUCAAAAAAUAACUUUAAAAAAAUUUAGUAGACGCAAACUUUAACACAACGCCAGUAACAAAAAAAAAUACGUUAUGGUAAGUUGUCUUGAUCACUUUUUGCAUAUCCAAAUUCCUGAAUUUUUUUUUUAUAUUAAAAAGAAAAUAUUAUUUUAAUUUACCUAUAUCAAUUAUGUGCAACUUCAUUUUGAAUGACGGUAAUAUGUGACUUUAAUGAAUACGUAAUGAAUGUAACUCAAAUCCAAGUUGAAUUACAGAGCUCGGUAAUCACACACACUCGCGAUAACUUUAUCGUAAACCAGCGGCAAAAUUCCAUUUUGUCUUCUAAAGAAUCUGUGCACGUAAAUUUGUAGCCAUUGAAUUACGAGACUGUGGCGGGACAAGAAGGGGAAAGGUACAUAAUAUUACUUUUUUUUGUAAUUAAUACAGAUUGUCAUUUUUAUAUUAAUGAAGUUUGUUUGUUUGUUUCAUAGAUUUGGCUACUGACGUAGGGAACUUGGACGAGUUAGCGAACUCAAAAUUUGACUCAGAACUUCAUUAUUUUGUUCAAUUAAAAUUAUUUUUAGGAGAGGACAAGGCCUUGUAAAUUACAUUUACAAAUAAUAUCAAAGAGUAUGACUUUACAGGACCAAUAAAAAAAAUUCACGCUGAAUGUGGACAGGAAGAUUAAAGUAAUCACACACAUUUUAAUAUAAAUUAAACUACGUCUUUUUUUAAUCCAUAAAUGUAAACAUGAAACAACACGAUGUCUGGUACUUCUUAAAUAACACUGAUGCGAUUAUAAUAAGUCUUGACAUCCAGCAAAUCAGAAACAUAUUUAUAUUAUUUAUAAAUAUUAUAUGACAGUCCACUAAUUAUUGUUUCUUAGUAAUAUUUUGGCAGCUGGUCCGCCACUUGGCAGUGGCGGACCUAAUAUGCAUAUAGAGAACACUAUUUCUGCUUAUCUCUAUAAUAAAAAAUUAUACAAAUCACAUAGAACAGGCACCCAUAAUGCACUCGGUUUAUCAGUAGAAUAUCUACAUAUGCUUAUUUAUAUAGGUACAUUAAUUAUUACUGUACAGCAGUUACGACACGUAAUUUUCAGCGCAGAGAUUUCUUCUCGUGUCUGAUCACUCAUCGUGGGGUUGUAUCAUUUACACUUGAGGGUGAUUUUAAGACGUUGUAUAUGGCUGAAGUCGCAAGUUACUAUUCUGACGAUGAUAGGUCAGGAGUGCUCGUAAAUUCCCUCCAGACAGAUAUUACCGUAUUCCAUUCGCGUAUUGGGAGGGCCAAAUAUAAAUUCUAGCAGUCUUAAUCUUAGAAAAAUUAUCAGUAUUAUAUGAACAUUUUAUAAAAAAAGUACCGUAACAAUUAGUCUAAAUUUUCUGCUGACAGUGCGUCAUUAAACUGGUUCAUAUCGUCAGACAUUUUCCUUCAUAUAUCAUUUAGAAACAUGCAAAAUUUUGUAAGCUGACUUUACGUCCAUUAUCAGACGAGAGUAUAAAUCCUAACGUAAGGAUCCAUCUGAUAAAAACCAAUCUCAAUCCAUGGAUUGGCGUGGAUAUUAAGAUAAGAUUUAUCCAAUGGAUCAAACAGUUCAGUGUCUGUACAUUUGCUUCUGAAACAUUGCAUGUUUUUAAAUAAAUUUAUGGAAUUAGAAGGAAAAUGUCAAAGAAUAUUCAUCGGUUUAUCAUAAAAAUGUUACCAACCUACCAAAGUCUAAUAUCUCUGGCACAUUAAGCUUCACAGCCAAGUCUAAGUGCACCACUCUUAAAAUUUAAUUAACAGUAACAACAGGAGAAAAGAUUUUCGGUAAAGUACGAAAUCUUUUCCCUGCAUCAGAACUGAGAACCGAUUCAUCUCCUCUCUCUCUACGCAUUAAAAUUACGGGAAAAAAAAAAUUGUUUUUAGUAUCUGAUACUGACUAAUCUUAGGGAUUAUAUUCCGUUUAUCAAAAAAUGUGUCACUUUAGAACAAGUAUAAAAAUAUCAGUGGCGUUCCAGUGUUAAUUAAAUACAAUAGAACUUCAAACUCCCCCCCCCCUAUUUACACAGAAUUAUAAUUUAAUUUUUACGGUUAGGAAAUGGUGUUCUGAUCGAGUUGAUAAUUCCACUCUGCUAGUCCAUUUUUAAAGAAUUUUAUUAAUUACUGUAUUGGAGUCACGAAAUAUUACGAGCAGAAUUAAACAUCAGCAUAUCCGCUCCUGAACUCAGAUUUUUAAGUUUUUACCACAGUAAAAAUAUGGACUCUGGUCUUCUGAGUUAUGACGAGAUGUAGUAGUAUAGGUGGUUAGCAAAGUUUCGAAAGAACAUGCUGCAUACAUCUUCACAGUAGAGAUGAAAGAUGGAAGAGAUACAUUCCUCCACAAUAUUGGUUAACCACCUACAAGAUUACACUGCAGCUGAAUUUUAAAAAUUUGUUUAUAAUCAGAAAAAAAUAAAAUCAGCUGUGCUCUGUACGUAUACUGUCAUGGCAUUUAUAUUAUAGCGCAAUUUUAAGUCAUUUCCUGGGUGAAUAUGUUAUGUGGCGUAAACAUUCAACUGAAAUAAACUGUUACGAAAAUUUUGACAAA